rnacentral:rRNA from 1 species
UACGGGGGGGGCAAGCGUUGUUCGGAAUUACUGGGCGUAAAGGGCUCGUAGGUGGCCAACUAAGUCAGACGUGAAAUCCCUCGGCUUAACCGGGGAACUGCGUCUGAUACUGAAUGGCUUGAGGUUGGGAGAGGGAUGCGGAAUUCCAGGUGUAGCGGUGAAAUGCGUAGAUAUCUGGAGGAACACCGGUGGCGAAGGCGGCAUCCUGGACCAAUUCUGACGCUGAGGAGCGAAAGCCAGGGGAGCAAACGGG